rnacentral:lncRNA from 13 species
AGCUGGAAAAUUUCUCAUCAUUAUCUCAUCCAUUGCCUGCAGCACGAUCCUUCCAAAACUCCUCCUAAGACCAUCUGCCAAGGUGCAACACACUGAACCGCAUGUGACUCUGCCUUUUCUGACUAUUUUUGCAAGAUUUUUCCCAUAGAGUAUUAUUAACAGAAAAUGGGGCAGUUAUCAAGGGGACUAGGAAUGGUGCAUUCUCAGUUCAGGCUCUGAUGGAAUGUCUACUUGAUCUGGUGCAACUCCAGCUGUGCUCUUGGCUUUCCUCACUUUUGUGGUUCCAAGAAUGCAAAUAUUCUCCCAUGGCUUCCUUAUUUUGUCUUUCUCCAUGAGGUCUCAUUCAAGUAUAAACAUUCCCUUCAAUUUUCUCAACUCAUUUUAUUUUGUCUGAAUAACCUUGAUAAUUUUCCCUUUUCUAAAGCUAUAGACCUUCUUUUUUUGUGUAAGAACAGAUUACACACAAAUGUUUACUGUCCACUAAACAUUUAUGUGUAAUCUGUUCUGAAUUCUACACACAAAAUAUCUCUGCAAACAUUUUACAACUAUAGUCUUUCUAUAGAGAACUAUGAAAGGAACUUGCUCUAAAGGAGAAACUUCCAGAGCUAAGCCAAGCGUCUGACAAUUUUUAACAAUAUGUUAUUCAGUAAAAAUAAUUUUUCAGUUAACAGAGAAGAAUGGCACGGACAAAAUGGCAAAACAGAACUUUUCAGCACUUACUCCUUCAUAGAAACAUCAAUUUGAACAGCCAUCCGUGCAUCAAAGUGUCUUCAAAAGAGACAAGAAAUCCAGGUUCAGUGGCUCACAUCUGCAAUCCCAGAACUUUGGGAGGUCAAGGUGGGUUGAUCACCUGAGAUUGGGAGUUCAAGACCAGCUGGAUCAACAUGGAGAAACCCCAUGUCUACUAAAAAUACAAAAUUAACCAGACAUGGUGGCACAUGCAUGUCAUCCCAGCUACUCAGGAAGCUGAGGCAGGAGAAUCGCUUGAACUUAGGAGGCAGAGGUUGCACUAAGCCGAGAUCUCACCAUUGUCCUCCAGCCUGAGCAACAAGCACAAAACUCCAUCUCAAAAUUAAAGAAAAAGAAGUGCUUACAGUUGUACCUAAUAUUCUCUGAGGGUGGUUUGUAUUUCUGUGGGGUCAGUGGUAAUAUUGCCCUUAUUCUUUUUGAUGGGGGUUAUUUGAAUCUCCUCCUUUUCUCCUUCAUUGGUCUAGCUUCAAGUUUGUUAUUUUUUAACCAGUAUGAUUUUAAUAGACCAGUUACUGGGUAGUAAAUUGAAACAUACAGAGUGCCAUCUCCAAGAGCAGUCAUGAUUUCAUUUGGGUUCUUGAAAACUUAAGAAGUAGGUUGAGUUUUAUUAUUUUUUUCAGAAAACCAGCUUUUGAAAAAUUUAUGUGGAACCAAAAACAGCCAAGGCAAUCCUAAGCAAAAAGAGCAAAGCUGGAAGCGACAUGCUACCAGACUUCAAACUGCAUUACAGGGCUACAGGAAACAACGGCAUAGUACUGGUACAAAAACAAACACAUAGACUAAUGGAACAGAAUAGAGAAUCCAGAAACAAAACCAA